rnacentral:rRNA from 1 species
UACAGAGGGGGCAAGCGUUAUUCGGAAUUAUUGGGCGUAAAAGGGCGCGUAGGCGGCUUUUCAAGUGACGGGUGAAAUCCCUCGGCUUAACCGAGGAACUGCCUGUCAGACUGGAAGGCUUGAGACCGGGAGAGGUGAGUGGAAUUCCCAGUGUAGCGGUGAAAUGCGUAGAUAUCGGGAGGAACACCUGUGGCGAAAGCGGCUCACUGGACCACAACUGACGCUGAGGCGCGAAAGCUAAGGGGGAGCAAACAGGGAUUAAGAAAACC